UACGGAGGGGGCUAGCGUUGUUCGGAAUUACUGGGCGUAAAGCGCACGUAGGCGGACCUGCAAGUUGGGGGUGAAAUCCCGGGGCUCAACCCCGGAACUGCCUCCAAAACUGCUGGUCUGGAGGUCGAGAGAGGUGAGUGGAAUUCCGAGUGUAGAGGUGAAAUUCGUAGAUAUUCGGAGGAACACCAGUGGCGAAGGCGGCUCACUGGCUCGAUACUGACGCUGAGGUGCGAAAGCGUGGGGAGCAAACAGG
rnacentral:rRNA from 1 species